AUGUCUUCUCUGCCCUCAGAUAUGAUACCUCAUGAUUAAUAUAUUGCACAUAGCUGGGAUUAAUUUCCUACAUACAUUUAAUUAAAAGUUUGUUUUUCUGAUAACCUUAUUUUUCUAUUUUAUUUUAUUUUUUGUCAUAUUUCACCAUUCUUUCGUUAAUAAUGUCUGAAUGUAAAUCUGAGUCCUUGGUAAAUUUUAAUGCACCUUGAAGAAACUCUUACACCAUAUCAGAUUUUUUUUCAAGGGUAUAAUACUUUCAAAGGGGACUGCUAUAAAUACUGCUUGGGUAAGAACUGGAAAAAAUCACAUAGGAUUUAAAGAACAGCAUUUAUAGGAAGGACACCACUGACACUGAAAAUUCAGCAUGUUAAAGCACAUCUUUCCAAAUAUGCCCCCCUCCCAGACCUCAAAGAAGAUUUGAAAGACUUGUUCACUCAUAAUAAUCUGCAGUAUGCCAAAGUAAGUGAUAUGUGGUACCUGUUGGAGUGCAAGUGUCCUUAACUGUCUGAUUAGGCGGUAUAUAUUUGAUGGAUGGAGCUUAGUUGGGCAUGACGUAUCCAGAUGAAAUGUAUCAAGCAAGCGUGCAUGCUGGUGACAAAUAUGAGUGGGGAAAUGUCUUUGAAUGUGUCAUGGUUGAAAGGACAAAGUUUUAUUCAUAACUGUGUAUAAAACCAUAAAUGCAGUUUAUGGUGAGAAAAAUGUAAUGCAGCAGCCAUAUAUGAAAUCAUUUUACUUUAAAUGCUGCAUAAUUUGUGGUGUUCCAUGCUGUUUUGCACCAUAGAACUUGUCUUUCCUAUGUUUAUUUCAGUAUCUUCCAUUAUAUUUUUACUGUGCCAUGUCAACCAGUUGCAGAAUAGUGCAACAGAAUUUUCUGAACUUUUUAAAUAAAUAAGCAUUCUAAGUGAUUCAAAGAAGAUCAAACCUAUCCAUUCUGAAGGAAAUCAGCUCUGAGUGCUCACUGGAAGGACAGAUCCUGAAGCUGAGUCUCCAAUACUUUGGCCACCUCAUGAGAAGAGAAGACUCCCUGGAAAAGACCCUGAUGUUGGGAAAGAUGGAGGGCACAAGGAGAAGGGGAUGAUAGAGAACGAGAUGGUUGGACAGCGUUCUCGAAGCUACCCAGCAUGAGUUUGACCAAACUGCGGGAGGCAGUGGAAGACAGGAGUGCCUGGCGUGCUUUGGUCCAUGGGGUCACGAAGAGUCGGACACGACUAAACGACUAAACAGCAGCAACAAGUGAUACAAGUUUUAGUUAAUCCAGUUAUGCAGAUUACCAUCAACAGCAAUCUUAACUUCAGCCUUCUGCUGGUGGGACUCAUUGGUUUAAUUGUGCCCAUACAAUCCAAAGUUUACUGGAAGGUCAAAAUAUUAAUGUAACAUAAUAAGAAAAAUCACAAAAUAUUUCCAUGGACCUGCAUCCAUGGCUAGCUGACCCAUGAGGCAAGGUGAAGUGAUCCCCUCAGGUGGCAGGAUCCGCAGGCACGGCAGAUUCUGUCUCCCAGGAAUGCAUCACUCACUGCUCCCAUGGCACACUCGUUGGAGGAUGGAUCUGCCCUCCUUCCAAUGCAGCCUUUUCUCCCACCCUUUUGUCCAAUGUACAUCUUUGUUCCACUCUUGCUCCUGAUGUAGAUCUUCACUCACCUCUUCUUCCCUGGCGGAGGUGGGGUGAGUGCCAUUUUGUGGUUUGCCUCGGGUGCCAAAACGUCUUGGGCUGGCCCUACCUGCAUCAUACCAUUAAAACUAGCUAAAAUGCUUUAAAGCAGUGCCAGUGCAAUUUUAGUCAGCAGCACCAUUACAUCUUUAAGAGUCAGCAAGUUGGAAUAAAGAGUUUCAAAAACCCAUUUAUAGAUGUGUAUCAAUGUCCAAAUACCAAUUUUACUGCAAACAUUGCACCCGCCAUUUGUAAUAACUUCAUUCCAGCCAUACCUCUUAAUGAAAGGUGUUUUUACAUCCAAGUAUCUCUUGUCUUAGAUGUCCUCUUUUUACUCCUUGCUUUUUCUGAGUUCGAAGGACUCCCCCCCCCCAUAAUUUUGUCUUGCUUGAAGAAGAAGAAUAAAUUAGUGUGCCAAAAUUGGAAUAUUCUCAAAAGUGGGAUCAUGCAAAUGCAAGUUCAUGGUAUUACAAGUUAUAUUGCAGAACUAUUUGUUUAAGUUUCAAUUUAGUCAAAGAGCUCUGUUAAGGAAGGAAACAAGGUAGAUUACCGAGCAAAUGCCCUCGAAGCUAUUGUUUCUUAUUUCUCGACUUAAUUCUGGAUGUAAUUGAUUUAGGCUGGCAGUAGCUUGAAACUCCAAUGGUCAAAGCUUGCACUCGCUACCUGUAUACUACUUGGCCAGACUCAAGGUUCUUAGCAAUUGGGGUCCAGAAUACCUCAAGGACUGCUUGGCCACUGAGGACUUCAUAAGAAUCACUGUUAGUGGCGUACCAUGGUUCAUAUCCAGCAGGAGCCAAUUUUAUGGAACUCCCUUCCUGGUGAGGUCAGACAGACCAUCUCCCUAUUAAACUUUAGACAUCCACUGAAUACUUUUAUUCCAAUGGGCAUUUUAACUGAAUUCUGGUUUUAUAGUUUUAACUGAUCAUUAUUUUCAGUUCCUUUCAGUUACAUGCACACUUCUUAGAGACUGUUCUAAUUAAGCGGUAUAUUGAUGGUGGAAAUGAGCAAAAUGAAAAUGAAAAAUCCUUAUGACAGUGGUUCCAUGUUGGUCUCUGAUCUUAUACACUCAGGAAGUAUGCUCACGGAUUUAUCCAGCGCAUUAUUCUACCUGUUUCCCCAUAGCAUUUAUAUCAAGGAAAUUGUCCUAAGUGUCAAACUAUUUUUCAAGUGACUGAAAGGUUUCACGGGGACUUGUGUUGUUAUUUAUAUGUAUAUGGAGAAAAUUGCAAUGUGUGAGUAAUUUGAAAAAUUUCAGCCGUUUUGAGCAGUAGUGAUCUAGAAAUUGAAUGGGUUGAAAAUACAAUAUUGCAGCGCGCUGCUGCAUAUAUAAUAUAUGUGCAGCAUAUGCUGAAGUCUUUUUCAAAACAUUUACAUUAAACCUGUCAGGUAUUUAUGAAUAGCAAAAAUUAAUUUCCCCACUUCUGUCAUCAGUUAGAGAAAUGGAUUUCAGCACUGAUGACUGUCACUGUUUCCUGCAUACCAGCACAGCUCACUUCAGUGUCAUAGAAUUACACCAGGUGGCCUGCUAAGAGUCAGCUUAAUGUGAUUUCAAAUGAUAGGGUUGGGGAUGUGAGGGAAAUUAAAAUAGUAUCAUACUUAUGAUUUAAAAGCAAGUUAAUUACAAGGGCUUGUUAAUAAACAAAGACAAUUUCAGGGGGUAUUAUCUGUUGUAUAGUAUAUCAAUAAUGAAUAUGAUAUGGAAAUUCCCCCACCUACCCCCCAAUUUAAAGCCAUAUGCCUAUAGCUCAGAAAUAUUGAAUUAAAUUAUUGACAGGCAUUCCUGUAUAAAUACUUUUUGUGUUCCAAAAGAGUUGUUAAUUUUUUUAAAAAAGCUUUUAAAUUGUUUAACUGACAGAUUAGAGCAGUUAUAAGAAAAUGUCAGUGAUUUUCCUCAUGCAAAUUGAAAACCUUUGGCUAUAAUAAAAUAAAUAUGAAUAAAUAGAUGGAAAACAUUUGGAUCCAGCCAGUGCUUUUUUUCAGGUUGCUCCUCCCACACAUAACUAUAACUCAUUUCAGCCUAAUCUAACAUUCUGUUCUGAUGCUGGAGCUGGAUACUUGUUUUUACUAGAUUAUUGAUAACUUUCAGGUUGCUAUCAGUUACAAUCAUUUAAUUUGUUGCUGCUCAGGAUCCUCGCGUACUCUAGCAAGAGAGAUUUGUGUGCUCAGGUAAUGCAGAUGCGCAUUCUGAUGGCAUUUUGAUGCUCAUUGAUCUUGAAAGAUUUAGCUGAUGAGAAUGAGAUUAUACA